rnacentral:rRNA from 1 species
AUUGAACGCUGGCGGAAUGCUUUACACAUGCAAGUCGAACGGCAGCACGGGGCAACCUGGUGGCGAGUGGCGAACGGGUGAGUAAUAUAUCGGAACGUGCCCAAUCGUGGGGGAUAACGUAGCGAAAGUUACGCUAAUACCGCAUACGAUCUACGGAUGAAAGCGGGGGAUCGCAAGACCUCGCGCGAAUGGAGCGGCCGAUAUCAGAUUAGGUAGUUGGUGGGGUAAGGGCCUACCAAGCCAAUGAUCGGUAGCCGGCCUGAGAGGGUGAACGGCCACAUUGGAACUGAGAGACGGUCCAAACUCCUACGGGAGGCAGCAGUGGGGAAUUUUGGACAAUGGGCGCAAGCCUGAUCCAGCAAUGCCGCGUGCAGGAUGAAGGCCUUCGGGUUGUAAACUGCUUUUGUACGGAACGAAACGGUGAGCUCUAAUAAAGCUUGCUAAUGACGGUACCGUAAGAAUAAGCACCGGCUAACUACGUGCCAGUAGCCGCGGUAAACUGUAGUCGU